AUACGGAUUACGUUGUUAUUGCUUAAGAAUACGCGUAGUCGAGGAGAGUACCGGCGGCGGGCAGGCAGGCAGGCAGCGCGACCGCCCCCAGCCCACCAGCUGGCUCCUCACCUCCUCUAGUUGCCAAGCCCUACAGCCUAAGUUUCCUGGACUAGUCCAC
rnacentral:lncRNA from 1 species